CUCACCGCUGCCCAGGGCGGAGGAAACACCCUUGAUUCGUGGGGCUGGGAACGCGGCUCCCCCCGCCUGGCUAAGGCUCCGCAGCGUCCUGGAGCCGCUUCGGCGGGGGCUGCCCGGACAUGAGGCUUUGAGUCAGAUGGAUAUUACAGCAAAUUACAACCAAAAUGAUGAAAUGAAGGUACUGAAAGCAAAGCAGUACUGGACCAUAUGGAACAAAAUGAAUUUUGCUUCAGUGUGGAUAUGCAUUGGAAAUUUGAGGACCAGUGCACAGGCUAGACACACAAGGGAUCAGAAUUAAGGUUGCAGUAGCUGCAGCAGCAACUGCAAUAACGCUGUUUUCCCUGGAGCCAGAGAAGGAAAGAUGGGCACCCUCCUUGCUCCAACAACUGCAUCCCUUUCCCUGUGCAGCCCAAGCUGUGGAGCUCUCAGAAGGUUUCAUGGGCGUGGGGACUGUGCCACUGAGAUAGCUGAGCCUUGCUGUUAUUCAGAGCUGCCAAAAAAAAGAAUAGAAGCCUGAAGUCAGUGGCAGACCAAGAGCCAAUGUGUUUGUCUGGAGCAGAAGGGAGAAAUGAGAGAGGCAGAUGAGCAUGGGAAAACAAGAAGAAAGGAGACAACAAUCAGGGACAGCUGAGAAGAGGGAAGUAAGAGAAAAUAAAGCGUGGUGAUACAGAUAUGAAAAUUCAUUAUUUAUCAUAGUGUAAAUAAUGGCACAUUCCUCACCAAACAAACGAGCCCAAGGUUGUAAGUCCACCUUAAGCAUUAAGAUAAUACAAAUGAACCCAAUGAUAUUGAUGAAUAUCUCAUGUUGUUUGAUGUUAUGAGAACUCAUUGAUGGAAAUACCACCUUACUGUUUGCAGACAGCUGGACAGUAUUUAGUAUGUUAAUGUUUGUGAAAUGUUUAUAGAUUAAUAUACACUA